AAUUGACGGGGCCCGCACAAGCAGCGGAGCAUGUGGUUAAUUCGAAGCAACGCGAAGAACCUUACCUAGACUUGACAUCUCCUGAAUUACCCGUAACUGGGGAAGCUCUUCGGAGCAGGAAGACAGGUGGUGCAUGGUUGUCGUCAGCUCGUGUCGUGAGAUGUUGGGUUAAGUCCCGCAACGAGCGCAACCCUUAUCGUUAGUUGCUACCAUUAAGUUGAGCACUCUAGCGAGACUGCCCGGGUUAACCGGGAGGAAGGUGGGGAUGACGUCAAAUCAUCAUGCCCCUUAUGUCUAGGGCUACACACGUGCUACAAUGGUGAGGACAAAGAGACGCAAGACCGCGAGGUGGAGCAAAUCUCACAAACCUCAUCCCAGUUCGGAUUGCAGGCUGAAACUCGCCUGCAUGAAGCCGGAGUUGCUAGUAAUCGCGAAUCAGCAUGUCGCGGUGAAUACGUUCCCGGGCCUU
rnacentral:rRNA from 1 species